UACGGAGGGUGCAAGCGUUAAUCGGAAUUACUGGGCGUAAAGCGUGCGCAGGCGGUUUGUUAAGUCUGUUGUGAAAUCCCCGAGCUCAACUUGGGAAUUGCAAUGGAUACUGGCAGGCUGGAGUAUGGUAGAGGAAGGUGGAAUUCCCGGUGUAGCGGUGAAAUGCGCAGAUAUCGGGAGGAACACCAAUGGCGAAGGCAGCUCGCUGGGACGUUACUGACGCUGAGACGCGAAAGCGUGGGGAGCAAACAGG
rnacentral:rRNA from 1 species